AUUGAACGCUGGCGGCAGGCCUAACACAUGCAAGUCGAACGGUAACAGGAAGAAGCUUGCUUCUUUGCUGACGAGUGGCGGACGGGUGAGCAAUGUCUGGGAAACUGCCUGAGAGAGGGGGAUCACUACUGGAAACGGUAGCUAAUACCGCAUAAUGUCGCAAGACCAAAGAGGGGGACCUUCGGGCCUCUUGCCAUCGGAUAUGCCCAGAUGGGAUUAGCUAGUAGGUGGGGUAACGGCUCACCUAGGCGACGAUCCCUUGAUGGUCUGAGAGGAUGAACAGGCACACUGGAAAUGAGAAAAGGGCCAGACUCCUACGGGAGGCAGCAGUGGGGAAUAUUGCACAAUGGGGGGAAGCCUGAUGCAGGCAUGCCGGGUGGAUGAAGAAGGCCUUCGGGUUGGAAAAUACUUUCAGCGGGGAGGAAGGGAGUAAAGUUAAUACCUUUGCUCAUUGACGUUACCCGCCGAAGAAGCACCGGCUAACCCCGUG
rnacentral:rRNA from 1 species